rnacentral:rRNA from 1 species
UACGUAGGGUGCAAGCGUUACUCGGAAUUACUGGGCGUAAAGCGUGCGCAGGCGGUUAUGCAAGACAGAUGUGAAAUCCCCGGGCUCAACCUGGGAACUGCAUUUGUGACUGCAUAGCUAGAGUGCGGCAGAGGGGGAUGGAAUUCCGCGUGUAGCAGUGAAAUGCGUAGAUAUGCGGAGGAACACCGAUGGCGAAGGCAAUCCCCUGGGCCUGCACUGACGCUCAUGCACGAAAGCGUGGGGAGCAAACAGG